GUGAAUACCCUGUCAAAUUGAGUGAAAUGGUGAGUGAGAGAUAAGGUUGAACUUUGGACAUCGUGUGGAACAGUCAUUGGACUUAAUCUAAUUGAAGUCUUAGAAGCCAGAGUGUUGAUUGAGCAGAAUCACUGAAGUUAAGACCGGUGGUUCUAUUGCCGGAUGAAGAGAAUAAGGUUUAUGAGAUUUUUAUCAUUCAAAUUAAUUUGUUAAUUCCCUGACAGUUUUGUUUUGACAGGCAUGUCACUUGAGGACAAGUAACGGUUCAAGUUUGGGGUUGUGAUGACAGUCACUUAUUUGUUAAUUUAAUUGCAAUUUUUUAAUAGUUUUAUAAGUUUUUAGGAAAAAUGCAUGGUCAAAGAGAAGAAUAUUUGAAGAAAUUAACAUAGCAGGAAGUUUGAAGACAAAAGACCACAAAAAGAAUGGACUUAGAAAAAUAUUGCCAAUUUUGAAGNNNNNNNNNNCGCAAUCAGUUUUUUUAUUUUAUUCCUUGAAUGAUGAUGUGGCGACAUGGUACAGGGCUAUUCCUUUUAUUGGUGUCACGUGAUUGCUCCUUCUAAGCAUAUAAAUAAUAAGCUAUUUUAACCUAAGGAGUGACACGCAAAAUACACAGACUUGGAGAGAGAGUUUCACGCCGUCACCGAGAGAAGCAGCAAUUGAACCAUUGGAAGCUUUAUUCUAAGGUGCUUUUCACAAUUAAAUUAUGUAUAAUUUUCAGAAUUUAAUNNN
rnacentral:lncRNA from 1 species